CGACCGGCGCACGGGUGAGUAACACGUAUCCAACCUGCCGAUGACUCGGGGAUAGCCUUUCGAAAGAAAGAUUAAUACCCGAUGGCAUAGUCUUCCGCAUGGUAGAACUAUUAAAGAAUUUCGGUCAUCGAUGGGGAUGCGUUCCAUUAGCUUGUUGGCGGGGUAACGGCCCACCAAGGCAUCGAUGGAUAGGGGUUCUGAGAGGAAGGUCCCCCACAUUGGAACUGAGACACGGUCCAAACUCCUACGGGAGGCAGCAG
rnacentral:rRNA from 1 species